AGAAGUCUCUAAGAUCGCGGCUGUGUAUCAGAGCGCUGUGUAAUUUUAGGCGAAUCGUCGAUUCUCGUUUUAACUCACCUUUAAAGCUUUAUAUAUUAUUUUUGAGAAUACUUCAAAGAGGAGAUGGCUGUCUGUCGCAACAGUGAUGCUGACAUUGUGUCUAUCCCGGACAUCGUAGACGAAAUCAGGUUUCUGAACAAGGCAAGCGGGUCGAACACAGAAGUCCCGCGAGUCAGGUUUGAAAACCCCAUGCUGGGUAAGAUCUGUAAUAAUGAGAUGCUAUGUUUAAAAAGCGGUUUAAGAUGUCUUCUUACGUAUUGUGUUCGUUUGUUUACUGUUCAAGGUUCAAGGUUCUUAUAAGUAAGGUUCUUAUGCUGGAAUGUAGUGUUUGCUUUCUCCAAACAUAACACUUCUUAUUUAAACCAAAAGCUUAUAUUUUUCCACACAAAACAUUU